GACGAACGCUGGCGUCGUGCUUAACACAUGCAAGUCGAACGGAAAGGCCCUGCUUUUGUGGGGUGCUCGAGUGGCGAACGGGUGAGUAACACGUGAGUAACCUGCCCUUGACUUUGGGAUAACUUCAGGAAACUGGGGCUAAUACCUGAUAGGAGCUCCUGCUGCAUGGUGGGGGUUGGAAAGUUUCGGCGGUUGGGGAUGGACUCGCGGCUUAUCAGCUUGUUGGUGGGGUAGUGGCUUACCAAGGCUUUGACGGGUGGCCGGCCUGGGAGGGUGAACGGCCACAUGGGGACUGAGAUACGGCCCAGACUCCUACGGGAGGCAGCAGUGGGGAAUAUUGCACAAUGGGCGGAAGCCUGAUGCAGCAACGCCGCGUGCGGGAUGAAGGCCUUCGGGUUGUAAACCGCUUUCGCCUGUGACGAAGCGUGAGUGACGGUAAUGGGUAAAGAAGCACCGGCUAACUACGUG
rnacentral:rRNA from 1 species